rnacentral:rRNA from 1 species
GGGUCAGUAGGUUGGUCGUGCCACCGGUACGUACUGGUCCCACUGAUUCCUCCUUCCUGAAGAACCGUAAUGCCAUUAAUUCGGUGUUGCGGGGAAACAGGACUGUUACUUUGAAAAAAUUAGAGUGUUUAAAGCAAGCUAACGCUUGAAUACAUUAGCAUGGAAUAAUGAAAUAGGACGCUCGAUCCUAUUUUGUUGGUUUCUAGGAUUGACGUA